ACGGGUGAGUAACACGUGGGCAAUCUGCCCUUCACUCUGGGACAAGCCCUGGAAACGGGGUCUAAUACCGGAUAUCACUCUCGCAGGCAUCUGUGAGGGUCGAAAGCUCCGGCGGUGAAGGAUGAGCCCGCGGCCUAUCAGCUUGUUGGUGAGGUAACGGCUCACCAAGGCGACGACGGGUAGCCGGCCUGAGAGGGCGACCGGCCACACUGGGACUGAGACACGGCCCAGACUCCUACGGGAGGCAGCAGUGGGGAAUAUUGCACAAUGGGCGAAAGCCUGAUGCAGCGACGCCGCGUGAGGGAUGACGGCCUUCGGGUUGUAAACCUCUUUCGGCAGGGAAGAAGCGAAAGUGACGGUACCUGCAGAAGAAGCGCCGGCUAACUACGUGCCAGCAGCCGCGGUAAUACGUAGGGCGCAAGCGUUGUCCGGAAUUAUUGGGCGUAAAGAGCUCGUAGGCGGCUUGUCACGUCGGGUGUGAAAGCCCGGGGCUCAACCCCGGGUCUGCAUUCGAUACGGGCUAGCUAGAGUGUGGUAGGGGAGAUCGGAAUUCCUGGUGUAGCGGUGAAAUGCGCAGA
rnacentral:rRNA from 1 species